rnacentral:rRNA from 1 species
UACGUAGGGUGCGAGCGUUAAUCGGAAUUACUGGGCGUAAAGCGUGCGCAGGCGGUUUUGUAAGCCAGGUGUGAAAGCCCCGGGCUCAACCUGGGAAUGGCAUUUGGGACUGCAAGGCUGGAGUAUGGCAGAGGAGACUAGAAUUCCUGGUGUAGCAGUGAAAUGCGUAGAUAUCAGGAGGAACACCAAUAGCGAAGGCAGCUCGCUGGGACGGUACUGACGCUAAGGCGCGAAAGCGUGGGGAGCGAACAGG